GACGAACGCUGGCGGCGUGCUUAACACAUGCAAGUCGAACGGAAAGGCCCUGCUUUUGUGGGGUGCUCGAGGGGCGAACGGGUGAGUAACACGUGAGUAAGCUGCCCUUGACUGUGGGAUAAAUUGAGGAAACUGGGGCUAAUACCGGAGAGGAGCGCCUGAUGCAGGGGGGGGGUUGGAAAGUUUCGGCGGUUGGGGAUGGACUCGCGGCUUAUCAGCUUGUUGGGGGGGUAGCGGCUUACCAAGGCUUUGGCGGGUCGCCGGCCUGAGAGGGUGGCCGGCCACCUUGGGCCUGCGGUACGGCCCAGACUCCUACUGUAGGCAGCAGUGGGGAAUCUUGCACAAUGGGCGCGCGCCUGAUGCAGCAACGCCGCGGGCGUGAUGACGGCCUUCGGGUUGUAAACCGCUUUCGCCUGUGACGAGGCGUUAGUGACGGUAACGGGUAAAGAAGCACCGGCUAACUACGUG
rnacentral:rRNA from 1 species